rnacentral:rRNA from 1 species
GUGGGGAAUAUUGCACAAUGGGCGCAAGCCUGAUGCAGCGACGCCGCGUGGGGGAUGACGGCCUUCGGGUUGUAAACUCCUUUCGCCAGGGACGAAGCGUUUUUGUGACGGUACCUGGAUAAGAAGCACCGGCUAACUACGUGCCAGCAGCCGCGGUAAUACGUAGGGUGCGAGCGUUGUCCGGAAUUACUGGGCGUAAAGAGCUCGUAGGUGGUUUGUCGCGUCGUCUGUGAAAUCCCGGGGCUUAACUUCGGGCGUGCAGGCGAUACGGGCAUAACUUGAGUGCUGUAGGGGAGACUGGAAUUCCUGGUGUAGCGGUGAAAUGCGCAGAUAUCAGGAGGAACACCGAUGGCGAAGGCAGGUCUCUGGGCAGUAACUGACGCUGAGGAGCGAAAGCAUGGGUAGCGAACAGGAUUAGAAACCCUAGUAGUCC